GACGAACGCUGGCGGCGUGCUUAACACAUGCAAGUCGAACGGAAAGGCCCUGCUUUUGUGGGGUGCUCGAGUGGCGAACGGGUGAGUAACACGUGAGUAACCUGCCCUUGACUUUGGGAUAACUUCAGGAAACUGGGGCUAAUACCGGAUAGGAGCUCCUGCUGCAUGGUGGGGGUUGGAAAGUUUCGGCGGUUGGGGAUGGACUCGCGGCUUAUCAGCUUGUUGGUGGGGUAGUGGCUUACCAAGGCUUUGACGGGUAGCCGGCCUGAGAGGGUGACCGGCCACAUUGGGACUGAGAUACGGCCCAGACUCCUACGGGAGGCAGCAGUGGGGAAUAUUGCACAAUGGGCGGAAGCCUGAUGCAGCAACGCCGCGUGCGGGAUGACGGCCUUCGGGUUGUAAACCGCUUUCGCCUGUGACGAAGCGUGAGUGACGGUAAUGGGUAAAGAAGCACCGGCUAACUACGUGCCAGCAGCCGCGGUGAUACGUGGGGUGCGAGCGUUGUCCGGAUUUAUUGGGCGUAAAGGGCUCGUAGGUGGUUGAUCGCGUCGGAAGUGUAAUCUUGGGGCUUAACCCUGAGCGUGCUUUCGAUACGGGUUGACUUGAGGAAGGUAGGGGAGAAUGGAAUUCCUGGUGGAGCGGUGGAAUGCGCAGAUAUCAGGAGGAACACCAGUGGCGAAGGCGGUUCUCUGGGCCUUUCCUGACGCUGAGGAGCGAAAGCGUGGGGAGCGAACAGGCUUAGAUACCCUGGUAGUCCACGCUGUAAACGGUGGGUACUAGGUGUGGGGUCCAUUCCACGGGUUCCGUGCCGUAGCUAACGCUUUAAGUACCCCGCCUGGGGAGUACGGCCGCAAGGCUAAAACUCAAAGGAAUUGACGGGGCCCCGCACAAGCGGCGGAGCAUGCGGAUUAAUUCGAUGCAACGCGUAGAACCUUACCUGGGUUUGACAUGGAUCGGGAGUGCUCAGAGAUGGGUGUGCCUCUUUUGGGGUCGGUUCACAGGUGGUGCAUGGCUGUCGUCAGCUCGUGUCGUGAGAUGUUGGGUUAAGUCCCGCAACGAGCGCAACCCUUGUUCACUGUUGCCAGCACGUUAUGGUGGGGACUCAGUGGAGACCGCCGGGGUCAACUCGGAGGAAGGUGGGGAUGACGUCAGGUCAUCAUGCCCCUUAUGUCCAGGGCUUCACGCAUGCUACAAUGGCUGGUACAGAGAGUGGCGAGCCUGUGAGGGUGAGCGAAUCUCGGAAAGCCGGUCUCAGUUCGGAUUGGGGUCUGCAACUCGACUUCAUGAAGUCGGAGUCGCUAGUAAUCGCAGAUCAGCAACGCUGCGGUGAAUACGUUCCCG
rnacentral:rRNA from 1 species